rnacentral:tRNA from 1 species
AAGGGAGACCUAAUUCAGGUAGGAGACGAAAAAAAGUAGUCCCUACCAAGAAUCAAUCCCAAAAGGUCGGAGCGAGGCAAAAUUGGCUUUCAAACUAGGUUCUGGGUUCACAUAAGACCUGAAUCAGGAACAAGGGCUAUUAGCUCAGGUGGUUAGAGCGCACCCCUGAUAAGGGUGAGGUCCCUGGUUCGAGUCCAGGAUGGCCCACCUGCACAGGUGGCAAAAACAAAGAAAAGAAGCUCCGAAUCAGCACCUUAUCUUACUCAUAUAGUAAGAGAGAAUGCUGGCUCUGAGUUCAGAGUCCAGAGGAACCUUGAAAACUGCAUAGAGCUAGGUGAAAAAGCCAAAAAAGAAGACCGCAUGCAA